GAUGAAGAACGUAGCAAAAUGCGAUAAGUAAUGUGAAUUGCAGAAUUCAGUGAAUCAUCGAAUCUUUGAACGCACAUUGCGCCCGCCAGUAUUCUGGCGGGCAUGCCUGUUCGAGCGUCAUUUCAACCCUCAAGCACAGCUUGGUGUUGGGACUCGCGUUAAUUCGCGUUCCCCAAAUUGAUUGGCGGUCACGUCGAGCUUCCAUAGCGUAGUAGUAAAACCCUCGUUACUGGUAAUCGUCGCGGCCUCGCCGUUAAACCCCAACUUCUGAAUGUUGACCUCGGAUCAGGUAGGAAUACCAGCUGAACUUAAGCAUAUCAAUAAGGGAGGA
rnacentral:misc_RNA from 1 species